UUUUCUUUAAAAACAACAACAAAAGUGCACCCAAGGCAGCAUCAAAUAAUAAUUCAAUCCACACACGUGCUUCAUAGUGCUGAAGGUAGUUAUACAAUGUUCGGUUACUCUUGUGAAACAACUUCAUAAUCUCAUAUCAGUUCCUAAAGAAUAAGCACCUGUCCCACAAACACUCACUAGAUUUUUAUCAUUUAACGCUUUCUGUGCAGAAUUUCAACCACAGAAAUGUUUUACAGAGACAACCAGACCAAUUCCACUGUGAGCCAAAGAGCAGCCAUGAAAUCCAUUGGACAACCUGAGAUGGAUACCAUCAGCCCAGUAUAUGGUGAUUUAGGAACUAGAGCUCACGACUACAGAGAACAUCACCUUAUAAUACAAGCUAAUUGCUAUCUCUCUUGGAGCAUAUACACGUACAAUAUCCUGGGGAUAUUUACUUUUCGAAGCUAAGAGACCUCCUGGAGGAAUUAACAGCUAUCUUAAGUUUCUGACCCCUGCUUGCCUCCUCCCCCUCUAUUUCCCUACAGGAACUGACUGAUGGCACAGCCAGUUUGUUGAACUUGAAGGCUGAAACCAUAGAAAAGCCCAUGCUUAGUCAGGAAACGUGGAAAACCAGCAGAGGGUGGGAAAUCUGUCUGUGCUGGAGCUGGAGGACGCGGCUGGACAGCACAGCCCUUGGACAGCAGACCACAGGACCCCAGGCCCUCCCACACAGCAGCAGACAAAGGCUGCAGGCUGCCUCCCUUCCCUGCCCUCGCUGCACUGAACCCAGUGAUCUCUGGCAAAGCAACAACAGACCAGGGCUUGUUUCCCUUGCUGACCUGGAGCAGCACAAACUUCCAUGUCUGUGCACUUUUGUGCCGCUGCAUUUUGGGGUGGGAUUUGCCUUAUUGCAAUUUUUAAAGUAGCUCUUUUCAAUAUCUGAUAAUAUUUUCUCCCCAAAUUCAAGCUUUAUAUGCUUCUCCAAAAUAUAUCUAAAAUAUAUCUAUAGCUAAUAUAUCCAAUUAUAUCUAAAAAGAAGUCUCUGCCUGCUUAUACUUUAACAGAGAGAGAUAACUUUUUUUUCCAGGAUAUUAAUUGGAUACCAAGGUCAACUGUGAUUGAGAUCUUUCUUAGGCCAAUGCAAAGAUUUCCUCACACAAAGGUGUCUGGUGUGAGAUACUCCCAGAUGGCUUUUUUAAUAUGGGUUCCAAUUCAGAUUUCUCCUGGGACUUGAAGAGAACUCUGAGUAAACAUAUGUUUUGUUGUGUCUCAUGCAAAUCUAAUUGAUUUGACUUCCCUGUCAAGGUGUUAAGGUUUAUUCAAACAGGGAGUCCCUUUUCUUCUCCAAAAUCCAGUGCAUUCUUCUAG